rnacentral:rRNA from 2 species
UACAGAGGUCUCAAGCGUUGUUCGGAUUCAUUGGGCGUAAAGGGUGCGUAGGUGGCGAGGCAAGUCUGGUGUGAAAUCCCGGGGCUCAACCCCGGAACUGCACUGGAUACUGCUUUGCUAGAGUACUGGAGAGGAGAUUGGAAUUUACGGUGUAGCAGUGAAAUGCGUAGAUAUCGUAAGGAAGACCAGUGGCGAAGGCGAAUCUCUGGACAGUUACUGACACUGAGGCACGAAGGCCAGGGGAGCAAACGGG